rnacentral:rRNA from 1 species
AGUCGUAACAAGGUUUCCGUAGGUGAACCUGCGGAAGGAUCAUUGUCGAAACCUGCACAGCAGAACGACCCGUGAACACGUUUCAUCACAAGGGGGAGGCACGGGUGUUUUUAUAGCCCCCAGUGAUCGCCCCCACCUGCCGUCGGGGGUGAAGAGCGUUUCGCAUGCUCCCGUGCCCUGCGUGCGUGGGCAGCGACUCGUUCCCGCCGCGUCGGCACAACAACGAACCCCGGCGCGGAAUGCGCCAAGGAAAAAGCAACAAGAGAGCGAUGCUCCCGUCGCCCCGGACACGGUGUGCGUGCGGGCAGCAACCGCCUUCUCUCAUUAUCCAAAACGACUCUCGGCAACGGAUAUCUCGGCUCUCGCAUCGAUGAAGAACGUAGCGAAAUGCGAUACUUGGUGUGAAUUGCAGAAUCCCGUGAACCAUCGAGUCUUUGAACGCAAGUUGCGCCCCAAGCCUUUAGGCCGAGGGCACGUCUGCCUGGGUGUCACGCAUCGUUGCCCCCAACCCCAUCGUCUCGCAGGGGACGAUGUGACUUGUUGCGGGCGGAUAUUGGCCUCCCGUGCGCUGCGUCCCGCGGUUGGCUCAAAAGAGAGUUUUCGGCCACGGAUGCCGCGACGAUCGGUGGUGCAAAGUGCCUCGAGCUCUCGUCGCGGGUCCGUUUGUCGGCGAAAGGCUCC